AAAUAAUCUUGAUUCCAUUCAGUGUAUAAAUUUCAUGUUUUAAUGUAUUAAAACCUAAAAUACGAGAAAUUCAAAUAGUUUUUGGAUCAGGACCAUUGUAAUCAACUCCUUUCGAACCAUGUAUAAUAUUUUUAUCAAAAUUUAAAAAGAUUAGAAUUGGUUGAUGGGCUAUAUGAAAAUUUUUUAUUUUAAAAUAAAUCGAUAUGAGAUAAAUUAUACACAAAAAUUAGAGAGUGAGAAGGGAUCUCGGAAAAGGAGAGAGAAAAAGAUAAUCUCCCCCACUUAACCCCUUAAUAUUAAAGGUAUUAAUUUCUCUUUUUUUCUUUAAUCUUUGAAAAUGAGGCUAGAUAGGAAAUAUUUUUCAAAAGAAGGCUAGAUAGGAAAUAUUUUUUUGUAAAGAGGCUAGAUAGGUAAAUAGUUC
rnacentral:lncRNA from 1 species